GCACCCUUAGCUCAGUGGAUUAGAGCGUCUGUCUUCGGAACAGAAGGUCGUGGGUUCGAAUCCCUCAGGGUGUACCA
rnacentral:tRNA from 1 species